rnacentral:rRNA from 1 species
GUGACGAAGCGACGCCGCGUGUGGGAAGAAGGCCUUCGGGUUGUAAACCACUGUCGGGAGUUAGGAAAUGUAAGGGUGUUAAUAGUAUCCUUACUUGACUAAGGCUCCGGAGGAAGCCACGGCUAACUCUGUGCCAGCAGCCGCGGUAAUACAGAGGCGGCAAGCGUUGUUCGGAAUUAUUGGGCGUAAAGAGCACGUAGGCGGCCUUGUAAGUCAGUUGUGAAAGCCUCCUGCUUAACGGAAGAACAGCAGCUGAUACUGCAAGGCUAGAGUGCGGAAGGGGAGAGUGGAACUUCUGGUGGAGCGGUGAAAUGCGUAGAUAUCAGAAGGAACACCGGCGGCGAAGGCGACUCUCUGGUCCGUAACUGACGCUGAGUGUGCGAAAGCUAGGGGAGCAAACGGGAUUAGAUACCCCGGUAGUCCUAGCCGUAAACGAU